rnacentral:tRNA from 1 species
GCCGAUUUAGCUCAGUUGGUUAGAGUGCUAGACUCAUAAUCUAGAGGUCCCCAGUUCAAGUCUGGGAAUCGGCA